rnacentral:lncRNA from 1 species
CUCACAGAGAGUAAGUGAUAAAACCAGAGCCAAGUCUAUCAGCCUUUUUCACUCUGUGGCUCCUUUCACUUUCUUUAGUCACCAGUCCUGGUGUUUAGUCUCAACCUCAUUCCUCUUGUUGCAAUACAAUCCCAUUUCUACCUUGCUGCGUCUCUAAACAGAUAAGAAUUGGGUAUACUUGUUCCACUCUGAGGCUCAAAAGACAACUAUUCUCUCCCUGUCUUUUCCUCUUGUCCUCAUCCCCCACCUUUCCCAGGCUCCUUCUCAUUCCUCUCCUUUUCAGCUUCUAAACUGCCCCCUACCCCUAGGAGGCUCUGCCUCC